rnacentral:rRNA from 1 species
UACGUAGGAUGCAAGCGUUAUCCGGAAUUACUGGGCGUAAAGGGUGCGUAGGUGGUUUCUUAAGUCAGAGGUGAAAGGCUACGGCUCAACCGUAGUAAGCCUUUGAAACUGAGAAACUUGAGUGCAGGAGAGGAGAGUAGAAUUCCUAGUGUAGCGGUGAAAUGCGUAGAUAUUAGGAGGAAUACCAGUCGCGAAGGCGGCUCUCUGGACUGUAACUGACACUGAGGCACGAAAGCGUGGGGAGCAAACAGGAUUAGAUACCCUGGUAGU